GAGCACGCGCGUGUGGCAUAUCAAUAAGCGGAGGAAAAGAAACUAACAAGGAUUCCCUUAGUAACGGCGAUGUUGAAGCGGGAAGAGCUCAAAUUUGAAAUCUUCAAGGUUCUACCUUGACGAAUUGUAGUUUAUAGAAGUGUUUUCUGUUAGUGGAGUGGCAAAAGUUCUUUGGAAUAGGACAUCAUAGAGGGUGAGAAUCCCGUAUUUGGUCAUUCCUCCUAGCGUUGUGAUACACUUUCAACGAGUCGGAUUGUUUGGGAAUGCAGUCCAAAAUGGGUGGUAAAUUUCAUCUAAAGCUAAAUAUUGGCGAGAGACCGAUAGCGAACAAGUACCGUGAGGGAAAGAUGAAAAGAACUUUGAAAAGAGAGUUAAACAGUACGUGAAAUUGUCAAAAGGGAAACGUUUGACACCAGUGUUGUUUUUCCGAAAAUCAAUUACGAAUGUUUUAUUUUUGAGGAGUUAUGACUUCAUCGGCUUGCUCCUUUCUUUAUGAAACUUUCUUAAUGCACUUUUCGGUUAACAAGUCAACAUCAAUUUCUUUUGUUGUAAAAGGGUAUGAGGAAGGUGGCUUUCUUUUCGGAGAAAGUGUUUAUAGCCUUGUGCCUCUGCAAUCGGAGAGAUUGAGGUCUGCAGCGUAGAUCCUUCGGGGUUAGAUACGUUUGUGCUAAGUUAUAGCUUUUCAUAGACAACUUGUUGACUAUGUUUAGUCUUGUAGCUUACUCGCUUACUGCUAUUUUACCUACGCUUAGGAUGUUGAACUCUAUCACACACAG
rnacentral:rRNA from 1 species